GCCAGUGUGGCAUAGUAGUUUGAGCGUUGGACUACAACUCUGGAAACCAGGGUUCAAUUCCCAGCUUGGCCA